ensembl:lncRNA
CUGAUUAGUUACUCUAUCCAUUCCAUUUGCUACUCUAGGUUAAUUACAUGUCCAUUCAAAUCCUCUUGGGGUUGGAUCAUCCACAUGUGUCUUUGAGAUGUCCUUCAUUUCAUAAGUGCUAUGUGAUGGUGUUUUCCUUGAGUGUCCUUACUUUCUUUUCAUAUCUCCAGAACUUUCUGGCUCAUUCAGUUAUCAGCCUGGAAGCAUUGGCAUCGCUUCUCUGACCACCCUCCUUCCUACUCUAAAGAAUUGGUGCUUUUUAUUUCUCAGUAGACAAUCAAUGUAUCUGUAAGCAAGCCAUGACCAUAUUAUCUAGCUGGAAAGCAGUUUAACUGGAGAAUGCUCCUUGGUAAGCCCUGCAAAUGUUAUUUCAGAAAGAUGAAGCUGCAUCUGCUUCGUGGACUAUUCUUGUCCCAUGUGGCCGUAGGUGGGGGCAGCAUGCCUUAUGGACCCCAGGAGCAGGUGGGGACACACUUACAAGCACCCGGUGAACGUUAGAUCCAGUGCAAGAAGCAAAGGACAGAGUCUCAAUGGACUGGACUACAGAAAAUUCUGAGAGGCCUUUCAUCUAUACCAUGCCUGCAGUUACCCUUCUCAGCAAUGUGACAGAUGGAGGUGAUCAUCCCUACUUCACAGACGAAGAAACUGAAAAAGCUUACCCCAGGCCAUAUAGCUGGCCUAUGAUGGAGUUGGAGAUUUAUUCUCAAAUUCUGCUGUUGUUCCCUAAAGGUUUAUUGCAUCUCACAGAGGAGACACUUUUGUUUCAUCUGCCACUUGAGGCAGCACUGAAGCUGGGAUGUGAAUGAUGGUAAUUAGGCUUGUGGAUUUAGCCCAGGCUGAGCAAAGGGAAGGAAGUUCUUGUCUGGACUAGUGCUCAUCAUCCCUGCACUUCCUUUAUUCAGCUUUGGUGUCAGCUGGAAGAGUUGACUUUUCUUUUUUCUCUUAAACUAAGCUUCCAAUUUGGAUAUAUAUCAAAAUCCAAGGUGAGGCCUAAAAACCCAGGGGUACUACAGAUCUAACAUGUUUGUAGCUGCUUGAGGGCAGCCUGAAGGGCAGCAGACAGGGUUGGGAGGUGGCCAGGCUGUACCCACUGAAGCGGGCCCAGAGCUGGACACUCAAACCAAACCCUUGUUCAUAACCUUUGUCAAGGGCCAGGUACCCUUCCUUCCUUCCUUCCUUCCUUCCUUCCUUCCUUCCUUCUCUUUUUUAAAGAAGAUUUUAUUUAUUUAUUCAUGAGAGACACACAGGGAGAGGCAGAGAUAUUGGCAGAGGAAGAAGCAGGCUCCCUACAGGGAGCCUGAUGUGGGACUUGAUCCCAGGACUCUGGGAUCACACCCUGAGCCAAAGGCAGAUCCUCAUCCACUGAGCCACCCAGGUGUCUUGGGCCAGGUACUGUUUCUAAAUUCUUUGUGUUAGUCCUCACAAUCACCUGGUGAGGAAGGUACAUGUGUCGUCCCCAUUUUGCCAGUGAGGAAGCUGAGGCAUAGGGAGGUUAUAUGACAUGCCAAAGUCAGACACCUCAGUAAAUGGCAGAACCAGGAUUCAUAUCCUCGCAAUCUGGUUCCUGAGUCCAUGGUCUGAACCAAUAUCGCUAUGGCACUUGAGCUUGCAGAUCUUUUGUUUCCUUGUCCCUAAACCAUGUGCCAUCAUAAUCCUUGCUGCGUGAGGUUGCGGCAGGAUUAAUUGAGAUACUGUGUAGAAAGAGUUUGGCACAUAGUAAAUGCUCAGUUAGUGUUUGCUGUUAGUACUAUUCAUUGUAAGCCAGUGUGUCCUCUUCUUUUUUCCCCCCAGCUGUCUUUCCUUGUGCCUCCUCUUUGUGGCCGAAGGAAGUAGGUAAGGCUGGAAGGAUUAUGUUCCUAAAUAAAUUGAGAAAAGAAAAAAUACUCCA